UAUUUGAGAAGUAUAACAUUUUUUCAUUGACUUGUUUUAAUAUUAAAUGUUUCUUUUCAGUUCUUGGAUUCUAGGAACUUAAAGUCAUCUAAAUUGGUAUUAGAUAGGAAAACCAGACACUAUAGUCAUUAUAUAGAUUUUCAACAAUGCUAGACUCAGAGUAUAUACAGUCAGGACAAAAAGAAUUUAAAAGACUAUCCACAACAUUCUCAUUUUGAUGAAUUGUUAAACCACAGAAACUUAAAGAAGACCUACAGAAAACCUAGGCUGUAUAGUAUAUACAACAAUAUAAAAGAAUCGGCCAGUUGCGUUCAUCUAUAAGGAACCCAAAAAUUGAGCAAUGACCUUGAAGAGUAAGCAAUGUGUACAGUAAGAUAUCCAUCUUUGUAGUUACCAAAGAGUGUGGUAAGAACCUCGUCUAUAAUUAUACAUGGUAAGUAUUUUUUUGUUGGUUAAAAAUUAUGCAUCA